UGGGGAAUAUUGCACAAUGGGCGCAAGCCUGAUGCAGCAACGCCGCGUGAACGAUGAAGGUCUUCGGAUCGUAAAGUUCUGUUGCAGGGGAAGAUAAUGACGGUACCCUGUGAGGAAGCCCCGGCUAACUACGUGCCAGCAGCCGCGGUAAUACGUAGGGGGCUAGCGUUAUCCGGAUUUACUGGGCGUAAAGGGUGCGUAGGAGGUCUUUCAAGUCGGUGGUUAAAGGCUACGGCUCAACCGUAGUUAGCCUCCGAAACUGGAAGACUUGAGUGCAGGAGAGAAAAGUGGAAUUCCUAGUGUAGCGGUGAAAUGCGUAGAGAUUAGGAGGAACACCGGUGGCGAAAGCGGCUUUUUGGCCUGCAACUGACACUGAGGCGCGAAAGCGUGGGGAGCAAACAGG
rnacentral:rRNA from 1 species